rnacentral:rRNA from 1 species
AUGAAUUGGCUAAAUUGGAACUGCCGGGGGGCGGGGAAUCCCUCGACAGUUCGUGAUCUCGCGUCUCUUGUUAGGACACAUUCGCCAAGUCUUGUUUUCUUGUGUGAGACUAGGCAAAAUAAAAAUAAGAUGUAUCGUUUGUGUAAUAGGUUAGGGCUUUCUGGUUUUGAAGGAGUCAGUAGUAAUGGUCAUAGUGGUGGCCUAGCACUGUUCUGGCAUGAGUCUAUGUAUGUCGAUGUGCAAGAAGCAAAUGAAAGAUUGAUUGACGUGUAUUUGUGUGUGUCCCUGGACAAGCCACUAUGGAGAGCUGCGUUUGUUUAUGGCGAACCGAGAGUAGAGAAUAGACACAUGAUGUGCGAUAAGCUCAAAGGACUGCAUGCUCAGAGCACUCUGCCAUGGGUGGUUAUCGGUGACUUCAAUGAGGCUAUGUGGGAUUUUGAGCAUCAACCGGAAACUCCGAGACCUGCAGGCCAAAUGAUUAAUUUUCGGGAUGCACUUGAAGCUUGUGGCCUGACUGAUCUUGGUUUUUCAGGUCACCCCUUCACAUAUGAUAACAUGUUGAGUGGCCGGGCGAACGUCCAAGUUUGGCUGGAUAGAGCGGUGGCGUCCAACGACUGGAGAGACAUUUUAUGCAAGCUUCGGUGGCACACCUUGUGUCGCCGUCGUCGGACCAUAGUCCACUGCUCCUCAAGUUCUCACUGGAACAGGACAGGCGGCCUCACAGCAGCCGCCGGUACGAGUUGA